GGUGAACGCUGGCGGCGUGCCUAAUACAUGCAAGUCGAGCGAACGGACGAGAAGCUUGCUUCUCUGAUGUUAGCGGCGGACGGGUGAGUAACACGUGGAUAACCUACCUAUAAGACUGGGAUAACUUCGGGAAACCGGAGCUAAUACCGGAUAAUAUUUUGAACCGCAUGGUUCAAAAGUGAAAGACGGUCUUGCUGUCACUUAUAGAUGGAUCCGCGCUGCAUUAGCUAGUUGGUAAGGUAACGGCUUACCAAGGCAACGAUGCAUAGCCGACCUGAGAGGGUGAUCGGCCACACUGGAACUGAGACACGGUCCAGACUCCUACGGGAGGCAGCAGUAGGGAAUCUUCCGCAAUGGGCGAAAGCCUGACGGAGCAACGCCGCGUGAGUGAUGAAGGUCUUCGGAUCGUAAAACUCUGUUAUUAGGGAAGAACAUAUGUGUAAGUAACUGUGCACAUCUUGACGGUACCUAAUCAGAAAGCCACGGCUAACUACGUGCCAGCAGCCGCGGUAAUACGUAGGUGGCAAGCGUUAUCCGGAAUUAUUGGGCGUAAAGCGCGCGUAGGCAGUUUUUUAAGUCUGAUGUGAAAGCCCACGGCUCAACCGUGGAGGGUCAUUGGAAACUGGAAAACUUGAGUGCAGAAGAGGAAAGUGGAAUUCCAUGUGUAGCGGUGAAAUGCGCAGAGAUAUGGAGGAACACCAGUGGCGAAGGCGACUUUCUGGUCUGUAACUGACGCUGAUGUGCGAAAGCGUGGGGAUCAAACAGGAUUAGAUACCCUGGUAGUCCACGCCGUAAACGAUGAGUGCUAAGUGUUAGGGGGUUUCCGCCUCUUAGUGCUGCAGCUAACGCAUUAAGCACUCCGCCUGGGGAGUACGACCGCAAGGUUGAAACUCAAAGGAAUUGACGGGGACCCGCACAAGCGGUGGAGCAUGUGGUUUAAUUCGAAGCAACGCGAAGAACCUUACCAAAUCUUGACAUCCUUUGACAACUCUAGAGAUAGAGCUUUCCCCUUCGGGGGACAAAGUGACAGGUGGUGCAUGGUUGUCGUCAGCUCGUGUCGUGAGAUGUUGGGUUAAGUCCCGCAACGAGCGCAACCCUUAAGCUUAGUUGCCAUCAUUAAGUUGGGCACUCUAAGUUGACUGCCGGUGACAAACCGGAGGAAGGUGGGGAUGACGUCAAAUCAUCAUGCCCCUUAUGAUUUGGGCUACACACGUGCUACAAUGGACAAUACAAAGGGCAGCGAAACCGCGAGGUCAAGCAAAUCCCAUAAAGUUGUUCUCAGUUCGGAUUGUAGUCUGCAACUCGACUACAUGAAGCUGGAAUCGCUAGUAAUCGUAGAUCAGCAUGCUACGGUGAAUACGUUCCCGGGUCU
rnacentral:rRNA from 1 species